rnacentral:pre_miRNA from 1 species
AGGGGGAGGUUGGAUUCUGGGCUGUGUCCCUGGCGCCUUGUGCUCCGGUGCCUGUACUUUUGGAUUCCCGCUCCCAGCCCUGCAGCCGCCU